CAGUCGCCACGGUAAUACGGAGGGGGCUAGCGUUGUUCGGAAUUACUGGGCAUAAAGCGCACGUAGGCGGCUUGGUAAGUUAGAGGUGAAAGCCCGGAGCUCAACUCCGGAAUUGCCUUUAAGACUGCCGAGCUAGUAGGUGAGAGAGGUAAGUGGAAUUCCGAGUGUAGAGGUGAAAUUCGUAGAUAUUCGGAAGAACACCAGUGGCGAAGGCGGCUUACUGGCCCAUUCUAGACGCUGAGGUGCGAAAGCGUGGGGAGCAAACAGGAUUAGAUACCCGCGUAGUCCCUGUCUCUUAUAA
rnacentral:rRNA from 1 species